UAUUAGGUAACUUAAAAAAAGUGUUGGUUUUUUAAACCAAAAAUGAUAAAUAUCCCUAAUGC
rnacentral:tRNA from 1 species